AAGAACCUCCCCCGUAUUUUGCCAUUUGACUGAGCACAGCGUCUCUUUAUUAUACAAAGAUCAGAAGUGAGGAUGUGACCGUUUCAGGGGGAAGUCAUAAUGUUGAUUUAUGUUUAUGGUGAAGUGUGAAAACUUUCAGCAUACAAAGAGCCAUGAGCAUGUCCACUGGAGGAGUAGUGCCAGCUCCGCUCUGCCAGGGCUUUCUGAAGAAACGGAAAGACAAAAUGGUAUGAUUAUAAUGAACAUAUUGCUAGCAUUUCAUAUCUGUUAUUUGCAGGAACCGUGUAACUAAAAAGAGCUAUAGCUAAAUACUUAGUUAUUUUAAAGGCCUGUUGCAGAAUGCUUUAUAUUCUCUCUUUAUAUGUAUUGCAGAUUUAUGCGAUUAGUACAUAAUGUUUACACCUAUAAGGGAAUCUCUUUGCUCAGUGGUUGAAUGUGUUUUCCUCAGAGGCUUCGGUGGAUGACUUACUGGUUCAGACUUUACAAUACAACUCUCUUUUUCUACACUAAAAAACAUGGGAGUGCUGUAAGUAUUCAAGUGUUUCAUUUAAUAAUUCUUAUGAUGCUUUAAAAAAAUAUACUGCUGAUGUCAGAUAAAAAUAGUAAUGUUUUUUCCCCCACCUGUUGAGGACCCUUCUUUAGAUUUAAAAUACAAUUUAUUGACAUAUUGGCAAAGGCUUUUGUUGCUAUGGGUAUUAAUCCAUUAAUAAUGGACUUGAACUUCAACAGAUAGACCUCAGAGGCCAGUAUUACAUAUAUGAGGUAAAGUCAGUUUGUAAUAUUAUCUGAGAUUCAUUGUGUGGAUGCUGGUAAACUGAUUAUUAGAAGGCCAAGUAUGUGCUCCUCGUGUUAACUACAUGCUCUCUUUUGCAUAAUCAGAUUCAGUCUGUGCGGGAGGUCAGCAGAUCUGAGAGCAAUCACUAUCUAUUUGAGAUCACAAUGAAAAAUGGGAAGAAGAAAAUGCUGAUUAGGGAGCUGCUGCCAGAUAACAACCUUGAAAUUCGGUCAAGCCAUUGUGAAGAAUCAAGUACUGAGACCAGCAGCACUUCAGUGGACAGAUGUCUCUCCAUUGAUCAAGAGUCAUUCUUCGCUGGUACUGUCUGCAUUCGGGGUGUGACUUUCUCCUGUUCUACAUCCCGUUGACUUUUAAUGUUUUUCUGUAAUACCUUUUAUCAGGUCAAGUCACCUUUAUUUCUGUAGUACAGAUUCUGCUGUAAAGUAGCUCUAAAGUAGAGGGCUGCAUUGGGUUUGGGCUCCGCUCACGCUCGCCGUAAACCAAUUGUGGGGGGUUAUGGUUUGCAGCACGAUGUAUGUUAAAAUACAUCGUGUAUACACUCACUAAACAAAGAGUUACAGCUUUUUUAGUGGUAAUGAGCACUCUUUGCAAGCUUUCUAGUCUAUGAUCCAUUUAAAAUGUAGAACUUUGUUUUUCAGCCACACACAUGUUGCAAAGUUUCAGGAAUGACAUCUGCAUAUUUAUGUGGGAUUCACUCUCGAAGUAGCAGUGAUUGACACAAUGAUGACCAAAGCAAUAGACGGGAGAAAAUAUGUGAAAAUGGGCAUUAAGACUAGAGCACCCUCACUUAUUUUAGAAGCACCCUCAGUGAUUAUUUUUGGAACCUAGUUAAUACGCUUUUAUUGCAAAACUAUAUACAAAAACAACAAAAUACAAAUGCACC
ensembl:lncRNA